rnacentral:hammerhead_ribozyme from 1 species
GCACUGCUGAGGAGUCCCACAAAAAGGACGAAACGGUCGUUCAGUGC